CCCACGGCCCCAAGGAGAAACGCAGCCCAAUGGGCGGUGACAGCGACCUGGAGCUGUUGGAGGGCAGCACCACGGGGGGGGAGGAGGAGGAGGACCCCCCUGCACCCCCCCCCACCCCCCGGGGGGGUCCCCUGUCAGUGUGAGGUGGGGGGGGGAGCAGCAGAAGAGACCCCCCCGAAGUUUGCAGCUGUGGAAGGAGAGAGAGAAGGGAUGGAGAAGGGAGAAGA
rnacentral:lncRNA from 1 species